AACGAACGCUGGCGGCAUGCCUAACACAUGCAAGUCGAACGAGACCUUCGGGUCUAGUGGCGCACGGGUGCGUAACGCGUGGGAACCUGCCCUUAGGUUCGGAAUAACUCCCCGAAAGGGGUGCUAAUACCGGAUAAUGUCUUCGGACCAAAGAUUUAUCGCCUUUGGAUGGGCCCGCGUUGGAUUAGCUAGUUGGUAGGGUAAAAGCCUACCAAGGCGACGAUCCAUAGCUGGUCUGAGAGGAUGAUCAGCCACACUGGGACUGAGACACGGCCCAGACUCCUACGGUAGGCAGCAGUGGGGAAUAUUGGACAAUGGGCGAAAGCCUGAUCCAGCAAUGCCGCGUGAGUGAUGAAGGCCUUAGGGUUGUAAAGCUCUUUUACCCGGGAUGAUAAUGACAGUACCGGGAGAAUAAGCUCCGGCUAACUCCGUG
rnacentral:rRNA from 1 species